UACGCGAAGAACCUUACCCGGGCUAAAUCCACGGUGACCGCUCCCGAAACGGAGCUUCCUUCGGGGCACCAUGGAAGGUGCUGCAUGGCUGUCGUCAGCUCGUGCCGUGAGGUGUUGCCUUAAGUGGCGCAACGAGCGCAACCCCUGUGGUUAGUUACCAGCACGUCAAGGUGGGGACUCUAGCCAGACUGCCUACGCAAGUAGUGAGGAAGGUGGGGACGACGUCAAGUCAUCAUGGCCCUUAUGUCCGGGGCUGCACACGUGCUACAAUGGAUGGUACAGAGGGAAGCCACUGCGCAAGCAGGAGCAGAUCUCGAAAGCCAUUCCCAGUUCGGAUUGGAGUUUGCAACUUGACUCCANGAAGGUGGAAUCGNUAGUAAUCGCNA
rnacentral:rRNA from 1 species